rnacentral:rRNA from 1 species
UACAGAGACUGCAAGCGUUAUUCGGAUUCACUGGGCGUAAAGGGUGCGCAGGCGGAUUGUUAAGCAAGAUGUGAAAUCCCCGGGCUUAACCUGGGAAUGGCAUUUUGAACUGGCAAUCUAGAGUGUGUCAGAGGGGGGUAGAAUUCCACGUGUAGCAGUGAAAUGCGUAGAGAUGUGGAGGAAUACCGAUGGCGAAGGCAGCCCCCUGGGAUAACACUGACGCUCAUGUACGAAAGCGUGGGUAGCAAACAGG